UGGGGUUAGUCCGCAACGAGCGCAACCCUUAUCCUUUGUUGCCAGCACGUAAUGGUGGGAACUCAAAGGAGACUGCCGGUGAUAAACCGGAGGAAGGUGGGGAUGACGUCAAGUCAUCAUGGCCCUUACGAGUAGGGCUACACACGUGCUACAAUGGCAGAUACAAAGAGAAGCGACCUCGCGAGAGCAAGCGGAACUCAUAAAGUCUGUCGUAGUCCGGAUUGGAGUCUGCAACUCGACUCCAUGAAGUCGGAAUCGCUAGUAAUCGUAGAUCAGAAUGCUACGGUGAAUACGUUCCCGGGCCUUGUACACACCGCCCGUAA
rnacentral:rRNA from 1 species